AUAUCUGUGCUUCCAAUUCAUGAGCAUUGAUUGUCUUUCCAUUUCAUGAUGUCAUUUUCAAUUUCUUUGCUCCGUGUUUUAUAGUUUCAGAGCACAGGUAUCUCACUUCUUUGGUUAAAGCUAGACUGCCUCCCCUCUAGCCUUGGAGAACACACUACCAGGUCAAAGUGAUAUCUGCAGGUCAAAAUCCCAAGCCACACAGCACCUCAGGUUGACCUUACAGUCAGAGGCUGGUGGGUCAUGUGUUCUGAGAGGCUCUGUGGAAAGUUUCAAAAUGGGGAGGGCUAAGGCAAGGACUUUUUGAAAAGCAUCUACUCCAAAGACUAAGAUGCCACAACUCUUGAAGGUUUGGCUGUCUACCAGACUUAGGCUUUCUUUCAUGGUGUUCUUUGUGAGACAGUGCUCCGUGGUGUGGUUGUAGUAUUGCUUCAUGUUUCUCAGAAUUAAGUGGUUACUCUUCAUUUGGCUUGUGAAAAUCUUGGUCUUGUUGUCAAAAAUCUUGGCUCUUCCAUCAGCCACUGGACUCAAGACUUUCUCUUCAUCUCCUCAUUUUCAUGGCAGAUGAAAGGUUGGUAGUUAAUGAAUCCCAAGACAGUAAAUGCGAGGACUUCUGGAGCUGGUUCAGACACAGCCAAGGAAAAAUGCUGUAGACAGCGCAUUUCUGAGGGUUGAUAACAGCAGCAAACAUUGAAAAAUUUCCAUCAGAAUUUUGCACUAUGGGGAAGGUUUAAGAUGGCAGAACAGCAUGGAACCUCUCAGCUUGUCUCAUCCCUGAAAUGCAGCUAGAUCAACACCACACCAUUUUGUACACCUAGGAAAUGGAUCUGAGGAUUAACACAACAAUCUGCAUGACUUGAGCCACAGAACUCAGCAGAUCAUGGGUUCUAGAAGAAGCCAGGUGUCCUGUCAGAAAGAUCCUCACUUGCAGACAGGCCCACAUGUGAGGAACUGAGGCUUCCCCCUAUGAGCUUGGGGACACUGAAGCUCCCUGCCAGUAGCCACAGGUGGGUGCGUGAACUUGAUCCUCCAGCCCAUGUCAAGCCUUCGCAUCAUUGUGAUUCUAGUUUCAUCUUGGCUGCAACCUAAUGAGAAAACUUAGCUGAUGCUGCCCCGCUCCCCUGUCCUUACACUUAUGAUCCUCAAGAAUUUAUUGCUAUAAUAAUGUCAUAUGAAGCUGCAGGAUCAUGUUAUAAUCUGUGGAAUCGCAAUGGAUAAUGACACAGACCUUGGAAGCUGGACAGGGGUGCUGGCAUCACAGACACUUUACACGAGGCAGGUGCUGAGGAGCAGGACAGGGGUGGAGUCGGAAGGACUGUGAGGUGAGAGUUUAGGAGGAAAAGAUUAGCAGGAAUGCUGGAAAUUUUCAAGGAAAGGGGCAGAGACAUAGAAAAGGAAAAGAAGCCUCGGGAGCUCUACAAUUCUAUUGGGGAGAAGCAGGCUGAAGAGGUGACCCCACUGCAGACACAGUCUCACACCCCAGAAAGAUGGGUCACAGUGUGCAGAGAUGCUAAGACAUAAGCCAACUGCAUGCUGUGCACAAGACAUGCACUUUUGGGGAACCUGGGUGGCUCAGUUGUUUAAGCAUCCACUUCAGCUCAGGUCAUGAUCUCAUGGUUUGUGAGUUCGAGCCUCGCGUCAGUCUCUGUGCUGACAGCAAG